rnacentral:rRNA from 1 species
UACGUAGGGUGCAAGCGUUAAUCGGAAUUACUGGGCGUAAAGCGUGCGCAGGCGGUUAUAUAAGACAGUUGUGAAAUCCCCGGGCUCAACCCUGGGAACUGCAUCUGUGACUGUAUAGCUAGAGUACGGUAGAGGGGGGAUGGAAUUCCGCGUGUAGCAGUGAAAUGCGUAGAUAUGCGGGAGGAACACCGAUGGCGAAGGCAAUCCCCUGGACCUGUACUGACGCUCAUGCACGAAAGCGUGGGGAGCAAACAGG